rnacentral:rRNA from 1 species
UGAAACACGGACCAAGGAGUCUAGCGUAUGCGCGAGUCAUUGGGUGGUAAACCCAUAGGCGAAAUGAAAGUGAAGGCUCUCGCAAGAGGCCGAUAUGCGAUCCGGGGUCCCGUCGUGGCCACGGAGCAGCAUAGCCCCGUCUUAAUGGCUUGCCAUAGGGCGGAGGAAGAGCGUAUUCGCUGGUACCCGAAAGAUGGUGAACUAUGCCUGAGCAGGAUGAAGCCAGAGGAAACUCUGGUGGAAGUCCGAAGCGCUUCUGACGUGCAAAUCGAUCGUCUGACUUGGGUAUAGGGGCGAAAGACUAAUCGAACCAUCUAGUAGCUGGUUCCCUCCGAAGUUUCCCCCAGGAUAGCUGGAGCUCGUUGUUAACAGUUAUACUCGGUAAAGCGAACGAUUAGAGGACUUGGGGUCAAAAGACCUUAACCUAUUCUCAAACUCUCAAUGGGUAUGAUGCAUUGGUUGCUUGAUUCUUGAACCAUUGCGUUGAAUGUGGGCUCCAAGUGGGCCAUUUUUGGUAAGCA